rnacentral:rRNA from 1 species
GAUGAACGCUAGCGACAGGCCUAACACAUGCAAGUCGAGGGGCAGCACAUGAGUAGCAAUACGAUGGUGGCGACCGGCGCACGGGUGAGUAACACGUAUGCAACCUGCCUGUAAGAGGGGAAUAACCCGGAGAAAUUCGGACUAAUACCGCAUAAUACCACGAGACUGCAUGGUUUUGUGGUUAAACAUUUAUGGCUUACAGAUGGGCAUGCGUAUGAUUAGAUAGUUGGUAGGGUAACGGCCUACCAAGUCUACGAUCAUUAGGGGUUCUGAGAGGAAGGUCCCCCACACUGGUACUGAGACACGGACCAGACUCCUACGGGAGGCAGCAGUGAGGAAUAUUGGUCAAUGGGCGAGAGCCUGAACCAGCCAAGUCGCGUGAAGGAAGAAGGUUCUAUGGAUUGUAAACUUCUUUUGCAGGGGAAUAAAGGACGGUAGUGUACUGUUUUGUAUGUACCUUGCGAAUAGGAUCGGCUAACUCCGUGCCAGCAGCCGAC